UGAAUUAUGGAUAAUGAUAUUACCUGUUUGCAGCAUUGCAGCAAUACAGGUUUUAUGGGUCUCUGCUUCAAUAAAAGUGAUUCAGCUUAGGCUAAGGGCUAAUAGAAAAUUGGAUUAAAGGUGCUGACUAAACAACUCCUUGUCCUAAGGUUAACCCUGCUCACCUGUAGCACAGCUUGUAACUGCUGGUGGGAAUUUGGGAAUUGGGUCAUAAAGUUGAUCAACUGGGGCAUAUGAAGAACACCGUAUGAAGCUUGAAGGAUUGUGAAGAGAAUGCACUAUAUAAACUAAAUCUUCUUGUUUGACAAGGCACUGUGUAUCUGAAGGAGAAGUUGUUGAGCUAAGCUACUCGAUGUGCCUUAAAGAAAACAGCGCCGACGGGACAACAUCAGGUUAUAGUGCCUCGAGGUCUCAGGCUGUCUUUUAUUUAUGCAUGUUUCUGUGUUGUUUUCCUGCUUUCAUGCAGCCUCUACAAAAUGCUGAAACGAAACUAACAUGAACUCGUGGUGGACAUAUCAUCCACACUGUGGACUUAUGGAGGAAGGACAAAGAGAGCAAGCAGCAAUGGAGUCAGCCGAUGAGAGUGCAUGUUGGGGGAUUUUUCCAACUAAAGGCAGAAGAGGGCAAACCCCCACCCGUGAGCCUACAUCCUCAUCCAUACCCGAUUCAAUUUACACUGAUCUGCAGAGAGGUGCACUUAUCAUUGAGAGCAGGGGGGAGGUGGUGUGGGGGGUGAGCCAGCACAUUGUCUCUGUAUGAACCAAGGGCAUUGGAAAAUAAAAGCGGACUGCGGUGAGAUAAUAA